rnacentral:rRNA from 1 species
AGGAUUCGUCCAAUUGAAGCAGAGGACAGUGGCGGACGGGUGAGUAACGCGUGAGGAACCUGCCUUUCAGAGGGGGACAACAGUUGGAAACGACUGCUAAUACCGCAUGACACAUUGGGGUCGCAUGGUCGGAAUGCCAAAGAUUUAUCGCUGAAAGAUGGCCUCGCGUCUGAUUAGAUAGUUGGCGGGGUAACGGCUCACCAAGUCGACGAUCGGUAGCCGGACUGAGAGGUUGAACGGCCACAUUGGGACUGAGACACGGCCCAGACUCC